rnacentral:lncRNA from 1 species
GACCUUAUGACGACAAUAUUCAUAGCAUCAUGCUGCCACCUGAAUCCAUGUUGAUGUCCAUGGUCCAUGUCACCACCCAGUGUCUUGGUGACGUAUGUGGUAGGUCUGUGCUGCCACCAAGGGCCAAGUUGGUGACCACAGCAGGCCUUGUGCUGCCAUCACGGGACUGCUGUGGCCAGGGGCCAUGUUGCUGUGCAUGGACUAUGUUGUCACCGAAGGUUAUGGGAAUAACUGUGGUCUUUAUUGCCACCUGUAGCCAUGUUGGUGCUUGUGCCCGGUGCAACAGCCAGAAAUUAUGUGGAAGUUCAUGACCAUGCAGCCACGGAUUAUAAAGGGCAAGGAAAUUUCUUUUCCAGUAGUAUUGAUGACUUCAAACUCACAGUUGAGAAUGAGAGACAUAGAAGGCUGUAAGAGAAUCUCUUAUAAGCAUUACCUGUCAAUAAAACAGCCGAUGGCCAAUGAGCUGAGGCAGGAAAUAGGAGAUGAGACACUGGCAGGAAGAAAGAGGGGGAAAUAAUGAGAGUAUAAAAGAUUCAAGAGAGUUGCAGGAGAAAGACCAAGGAGAAGUUUGUUGUAGUCAACAAAGAUGAAAAUGGAGUUGGAGAUCUGAAGACUGCUUUGACAUCAGCCAUGGAGAUGCAGAGUUUGGAGUUUGCCCAGCUGGUUUCCUGUCUUUAUAGUUAAGUAAUUGGAUGAAUCUCAGAAAAGCCCUUGAACUUUGGACUUUUAACAUUGUUGAGACUGCUAUAGACUAUGGGGACUUUGGAAAUUGUAAUUUUUAUUAUGCUAUGGGUAGGUAUGGCCCCCACAGACUCAUGAGUUUGAACAAGCCUAUGGGGGCCAGGGAGUGUUAUGGGGUGGUUUGAAUAUGUUUGACCCAGGGAAUGACACUAUUAGGAGGUGUGGUCUUAUUGGAGGAAGUGUGUCACUGUGGAGGGGGGGGGGGGCAAUGAGACCUUCCUUCUAACCAUGGAGGAUGCCAGUCUUCUCCUCUUUGCCUUUGGAACAAGAUGUAGAACUCUCAGCUCCUCCUGUGCCAUGCCUGCCUGGGUGCUGCCAUGCUCCUACCUUGAUGAUAAUGUUCUGUACCUCUGAACCUGUAAGCCAGCCCCAAUUAAAUGUCCUUAUAAGAGUUGCCGUGGUUGGGCUGGUGAGAUGGCUCAGUGGGUAAGAGCACCCGAC